rnacentral:misc_RNA from 1 species
UUUCCGUAGGUGAACCUGCGGAGGGAUCAUUACUGAGUGAGGGCCCCCGGCCCGACCUCCAACCCUUUGUGUAUCUCGACCCUGUUGCCUCGGGGGCGACCCGGCCUUCGGGCGUCGGGGCCCCCGGCGGACCAUUCAAACACUGCAUCUUUGCGUCUGAGUACACGAUUGAAUCAAUCAAAACUUUCAACAACGGAUCUCUUGGUUCUGGCAUCGAUGAAGAACGCAGC